rnacentral:rRNA from 1 species
UACGUAGGGCGCAAGCGUUAUCCGGAAUUAUUGGGCGUAAAGAGCUCGUAGGCGGCUUGUCGCGUCGGCUGUGAAAACCUGGGGCUCAACCCCGGGCCUGCAGCCGAUACGGGCAAGCUAGAAUUCGGUAGGGGAGACUGGAAUUUACGGUGUAGCGGUGAAAUGCGUAGAUAUCGUAAGGAAGACCAGUGGCGAAGGCAGUGUCCUGGCUGGUGACUGACGCUGAGGUGCGAAAGCUAGGGGAGCGAACGGG